rnacentral:rRNA from 1 species
AUGGAUCUUGGAGGUCCACCGGCAUGGUCUCUCCGACGAGAACCAACAGGAAUGGUGGCCGCCGCAGGGAGCCCGUCCCUGAGCCCGCACUGCCGCCGGGAGCCCGCCCCUGCAACCCUUCGUCCCUUCUGUUUCCUUCCCGACGAAUGCUGCCGCCCCAUAACACAGGCGUCCAUGGGAGGAGAGGAGGAGCGUGACGCAAUAGACAUCUCCGACGCCGACGAGGGCGUCACCGCGCGUACCGGAUGGCAAGGCCAGUGCGCCGCGGUUGUGCACACCGGGGUUAAGCUCCUUACAAGUUGGCCCCACUUGUCAGAAAAUGAUCAAACGGGCCAAAUCACCCGAUCAGUGCUUUUUGCAAGGAGUUUAGUGAAAUCACGCUGUUUCCCCUGCUUGAGCGCGAGGAAGAAGGAGGUCCCACGUUCUGCCCCGGCCAAUGCACACACCAGCAGCGUCCCUGGCGCUGUGGCACGAACUUUCUCCUUGAAGGAGCUCGCGGCGGCGACAAGAAACUUCAGCUCUGACUGCCGCAUCGCUGGUCGGGAGGCGGAUCUUUACAAAGGCUUCCUCAAGAGCAUCAAUCAUGUUGUUGCUAUAAAGCUGCAGCAUGCUGUUGAUCCAAGUGGAUCAGGGGAGCAAGAUAAUAGAGAGUUUCUUGCCCACGCGCUGACGAUGAGCGGGCUGCGCCACCCAAAUAUUGUCAAUCUUAUCGGCUUUUGUGCGGAUGGCCAUCACCGGAUCUUGGUUCACGAGUACAUGCCAUUGGGUUCUCUGGAAGAUCACCUCCACGGCGCCUCGCCUUCUCCACCUCCGGCUACUUAUAUGCAUGCCAACAAUCUAGCUACAAAGCUUAUAACUGCGUUCAUGAUUCGUUUGAGGUUGUGUUCAUCUCCAGGCAAAGCACCGCUGGACUGGAACACGAGGAUGAACAUUGCCGCCGGUGUGGCCAGAGGGUUGGAGUAUAUGCACGACAAAGGUGUCCUCUACCGAUGCGUCAAAAGUUCGGACAUCUUGCUCGGAGACGGCUACCACCCAAAGCUGUCCCAAUAUGGACUGGCGGAGCAUGACAAGGGCUGGUGUACUGGUAUCGCCAUAAGGACGGCAUUGGGUACUAUGGCCCCCGAGACCGUGAUGACCGGGAAGCUGCUCCCGGGGUCGAGUGUUUACGGCUUGGACACCAGGACGCCGGGGAGGAUCGACACCUUGUCACAUGGGAGCCAGUUCCGCCGGAUGGCAGACCCGGCGCUGCAGGGACGAUAUCCGUCCUUGGACUUGCAGGAGGCCCUCGAAGUUGCUUCGUUGUGCAUCCACGACAAUCAUGCCAUGAGAGCGCCCAUCGGCACCGUCGUCACGGCUCUGUCUCGCCUCGCCUACGAUCAUCAGUCCCCCGGAGUACUAACCGGGAAACAGGUGGAGUACCUCCGUUUGAGGGGCAAAAUGGUAAUCCCCAGCUUUGUUUAUGAUUUUCUUGUGAUUAGCCUUCCUGCUCGUCCCCUCGUAUCCACCUGCGGCGGCGGCCUCUGCCCAGCCCAAAAAGCGGCCAACGGCGCAGGGUGCGCCUCGCCUUCUCCACCUCCGGCGACAUCAUCUGCAACAGCGGCCAUAGCGGCCAUAGUUGGCGAGGCACACGCGGCGUGGCGCGGAUCCGCGCCCAUGUCAGCCGGCGUUGGUGAGGCGCACGCCUCCCGGCUCGUCCCCUACUCCUCCAUCUCCGCUCGUCGAGCAGGACAUAUAUAUGAAUGGACACCACUAGGCAUCAAGUAUGGAGAAGAGAAAAUUAUGCAGUGA